UAUACAUACACAUAUAAAUUUAUAUGUAUGUAUCUAUAGAAUGUGAUUUGAUGAUGUGUGUUUGCUGAUUUUGGUGCAGAUACAACUUCGUACUGUUCCCAGGGGAUGUAUUGAAGAUGGGGAUGCCAACUUAUAGCUUUUCAGUUCAAACAUCACAUUUGACUUCCAUGGUGGAAGAAGGUUUUGAUUUCAAUGCCUGCAUAUAUAAUGGAGCGUGGAUUACAUUCUGCAGAUUUGAUUUCAUUCCUGGUGGAACUUAGUUUUCAUGUUAAUGGCGAGGCAUAUAACAUAAAUUACAUUGAAUGAAAGGCAAAAAAAUAUGGUUAAGGAUCUUGCAGAUUUGGGACUGAUCAAACUUCAGCAGGGAAGGAAAGACGGUUUAUACCUACUAACGUGGCUACUAAUCUUUUAGUUAGCUUGACAGACUCAUCAUCGAGGAAACAAGUUGGUUAUUUGGAUUUGUUAGUGGAAACAAACUCAGGCUCUAUGCCUACUCAAUAUCCAAACUACAUAGUGAAAUUUUAUGUCUUUUCCUAGCUGUUUUCCCCUUUUAGGGGCGGAUCGACGGUGGGUCAAAGUUGGUCAGUUGACCACAUGGACGCUGGAAAGUUGGCUGGGGAGAGCACCCAAAUUGUUUCUCGCAUCUUGGAUAAGGCACUGAAGGCAAUGCUGUCUCCUGAUUUCAGCCUUUGUCUCUGCUUAAUUCCAGAAAGAGUGUUGGCUUGCAAGUGUAGUCUAGGCAGGCACAAAAGAGAUCACUGCUUAGCCAAAAGAAAUUGAAGAUGCAAAACUGGUAAUUGAAGCUUUAAGAAGUAAAGGUGUUUCUGCAAUUGGUGUUGUAAGCUUUUGUUGGGGCGGAUUAUUAAGGUCUAGAAAAGUUGUAGCCUUAGAUGGACCAACUAUCUGAGGCCAGACUUGAAGAGAGGUCUUUUAUCAUAAUAUGAGGAGAAGAUAUGUGGGACAAAGAGGUUUGCAUGGAAGAUGAGAAGACGAUCUCUGUGUCCCUCGAAACAAGUAUUUCGGGAAGCUCGAUGAUUCGACUAUGUUUCGCGAACAAGCAGUGGCACAUAUUUAGACAGGGCUUGGUGAGGCAGACCCCAGAUGAUGUAUGCCUACACUAGCAUGACCAAGGUGGUUAACCCUGCUGGCUGGAGCGAUGAUAAGCACCCUGAAUGUAACAAAAAUGGAUGGUUCAUGGAUUGCAGUUGGCACGACCAUGGCCACGACCACGAAGAGGAGACAUUGUUGGCGAUAUCGAAGCUCCUAAAGGAAUUGACCGAGGAGGAGGACAUGAAAGUACAGAUUUGGAUUUCAUCAGCACGACCAAGAUCAUGAGCAUUUUGAUUGUCUGCAGCUCUCAGUUUUUGGUCUCCACAAUUGUUCAGGUUGUCGGCAUUAUUCUUUCCUUGCACGCAGCUACUAAAAUUUCCAGUAGAGCCCAAGGUAUAGCAACAAUUGCCAGUAGAUGGCAUACGUUAAUGAUAUGCAGUUCUAAUGAUUCACCGCAUACCAGAAGUUCAGACAGUUUGGUGAACUUUGAGGCUGCCAACAGAUUGAGCUCACUGCAUAUAAGUUACUCUGAGAGUGAUUUGGAGUCAACGGAUUAUGUUCAUGUGCCUACAAAUUCCCAGCUGGUUUCACAUAUGGCUUCAUACCACAAGAGACAAGCUUUUGGUAUGCAUCAGCUUAUGCUGUUUCAGUAUUUUCUGUUUGAAAAGAUGGCUCUUUUGGUCGUCAUUUAUGGUUUUCGUUUGUUCAUUUCCCAUGGUUCAGUCUUACUGAUUGUUGAUUGUGGCUCAUACUCUAUUUAUAUUUCUCUGUAAACUGCUAAUUUUGGAAUAUACUAUCGUUUCCUUGCUGGUACAUUAAAAUGAAAAUAUGAAAAGUAGUCUCAAUCUCGCCUGGGGGUGUUGCAGGCUGAUUCAAUGCUACGAGGCACUUCGUUUAGUACUAUCUGAGGGAGAGGUGUUGGGUGUCUGAGACUGCAAAACCAAAUUAUUUAUGGAAUUUAUAACAUGCAAUCAGUUUUUUUUUUUAAGUUUAGUUCAAAUAAUGUUGAUUGCACUGUUAUAAAGCUUUCUUUUAUAGUUAGGUUGAAAAUCAUAUAGAUAUAUUCUUUAUUUA